rnacentral:lncRNA from 1 species
GUCGUGGUUUUUUUUGGUUUCAAUCUUUUGGUGGAGUUACAUUAACAACAUCGACGCUUCCGCAGAUAUCAGAAUCUUCGGUGUACGAAAAGUCAACGAUUCGUGAGGUACAUACGAAAUCCCUUAGGUUGUCUGUGUUGUCUUCGUAAUGUCUCAUAUUGCAACACUGUUUGCCUGACGAAGAUCCACCUGUAGCCCUUGACCGUUUGCCUCUUCCAGACCCUUGACCUCUAACUUUGGUGACCACAGAACGCUCAUAACCAUUACGACCAGACCGUCCACCACGACCUCCUUUUGGUGGACAUCCAUCAAAAUCAUCAUCUUCGUCUCUCUC